rnacentral:rRNA from 1 species
AAACUUUCAACAACGGAUCUCUUGGUUCUCGCAUCGAUGAAGAACGCAGCGAAAUGCGAUACGUAAUAUGAAUUGCAGAUAUUCGUGAAUCAUCGAAUCUUUGAACGCACAUUGCGCCCUUUGGUAUUCCAAAGGGCAUGCCUGUUUGAGCGUCAUUUCUCCC